rnacentral:rRNA from 1 species
CGGACGGGUGAGUAAUGUCUGGGAAACUGCCUGAUGGAGGGGGAUAACUACUGGAAACGGUAGCUAAUACCGCAUAACGUCGCAAGACCAAAGAGGGGGACCUUCGGGCCUCUUGCCAUCGGAUGUGCCCAGAUGGGAUUAGCUAGUAGGUGGGGUAAAGGCUCACCUAGGUGACGAUCCCUAGCUGGUCUGAGAGGAUGACCAGCCACACUGGAACUGAGACACGGUCCAG